UACAGAGACUGCAAGCGUUAUUCGGAUUCACUGGGCGUAAAGCGUGCGCAGGCGGCUAUGCAAGACAGAUGUGAAAUCCCCGGGCUUAACCUGGGAACUGCAUUUGUGACUGCAUGGCUAGAGUGCGGCAGAGGGGGAUGGAAUUCCGCGGUGUAGCAGUGAAAUGCGUAGAUAUGCGGAGGAACACCGAUGGCGAAGGCAAUCCCCUGGGCCUGCACUGACGCUCAUGCACGAAAGCGUGGGGAGCAAACAGGA
rnacentral:rRNA from 1 species